UACGAAGGGGGCUAGCGUUGUUCGGAAUCACUGGGCGUAAAGGGCGCGUAGGCGGCUGUUCAAGUCGGGGGUGAAAUCCCGUGGCUCAACCACGGAAUGGCCUUCGAUACUGGACGGCUAGAGACCGGAAGAGGUGAGUGGAACUGCGAGUGUAGAGGUGAAAUUCGUAGAUAUUCGCAAGAACACCAGUGGCGAAGGCGGCUCACUGGUCCGGUUCUGACGCUGAGGCGCGAAAGCGUGGGGAGCAACA
rnacentral:rRNA from 1 species